rnacentral:rRNA from 1 species
CCAAUAGCGUAUAUUAAAGUUGUUGCAGUUAAAAAGCUCGUAGUUGAAUUUCAGGCCUGGCUGGACGGUCCGCCCUUCGGGUGAGUACUGUCUGUGGUCGGGUCCUACCUUCUGGCGAAGCGUCAUGGCCUUAACCGGCCGUGGCGGGGAACCAGGACUUUUACUGUGAAAAAAUUAGAGUGUUUAAAGCAGGCGCACGCUUGAAUACAUUAGCAUGGAAUAAUGAAAUAGGACGUUUGAUUCUAUUUUGUUGGUUUCUAGGAUCGACGUAAUGAUUAAUAGGGAUAGUUGGGGGCAUUAGUAUUCAAUUGUCAGAGGUGAAAUUCUUGGAUUUAUUGAAGACUAACUACUGCGAAAGCAUUUGCCAAGGAUGUUUUCAUUAAUCAAGAACGAAAGUUAGGGGAUCGAAGACGAUCAGAUACCGUCGUAGUCUUAACCAUAAACUAUGCCGACUAGGGAUCGGAUGAUGUUGAUUUUAUAAUGACUCAUUCGGCGCCUUACG